AACGAACGCUGGCGGCAUGCCUAACACAUGCAAGUCGAACGAGACCUUCGGGCUUGGUGCCGCACGGGUGGGUAACCGGGGGGAACCUGCCCUUGGGUUCGGCAUAACUCCCGGGAUGAGGUCCUAAAACCGGCUCAUAUACCCCGACCAACCAUUUGUCGCCAUUGGAUGGGCGCGCGUUGGAUUAGCUAGUUGUGAGGGUAAAAGCCUAUCACGGGGUGGAUCCGUAGCUGGUCUGAGAGGCUGCUCAGCGACACUGGGAGUGAGACACGGCCCAGACUACUACGGGAGGCAGCAAUGGGGGAUAUUGGACAACGGGGGAAAGGAUGAUGCAGCAAUGACGGGUGAGUGAUGAAGGCCGGAGGGUUGUAAAGUUCUUUUACCCGGGAUGAUAAUGACAGUACCGGGAGAAUAAGCACCGGCUAACUCCGUG
rnacentral:rRNA from 1 species